GGUCCGGUCCGCGGCGGGCGCGGUCCGGUUCGCGCCGGGCCCGGUCUGGUUCGGGCCGGGCCCGGUCUGGUUCGGGCCGGGCCCGGUCU
rnacentral:tRNA from 1 species